rnacentral:tRNA from 1 species
GUUGUGGCUCAGGGGUAGAGCACUCACCUUGCACAUGCAAGGCCCUGGGUUCAAUCCUCAGCACACA